rnacentral:rRNA from 1 species
UAGGAAAUCUUCCGCAAUGGGCGAAAGCCUGACGGAGCAACGCCGCGUGAGUGAUGAAGGUCUUCGGAUCGUAAAACUCUGUUAUCAGGGAAGAACAAAUGUGUAAGUAACUGUGCACGUCUUGACGGUACCUGAUCAGAAAGCCACGGCUAACUACGUGCCAGCAGCCGCGGUAAUACGUAGGUGGCAAGCGUUAUCCGGAAUUAUUGGGCGUAAAGCGCGCGUAGGCGGUUUUUUAAGUCUGAUGUGAAAGCCCACGGCUCAACCGUGGAGGGUCAUUGGAAACUGGAAAACUUGAGUGCAGAAGAGGAAAGUGGAAUUCCAUGUGUAGCGGUGAAAUGCGCAGAGAUAUGGAGGAACACCAGUGGCGAAGGCGACUUUCUGGUCUGUAACUGACGCUGAUGUGCGAAAGCGUGGGGAUCAAACAGG